GCAGUGACACACAAGACAAGAUAGCCCAGCCUGAGUGACUCAGUCAUUACAACCAAUCACCUAAACCCAAUAAAGAUUGCGACUUGGUUCACCAAACCAACAGGAAGUCAACAUUAUUCGGGAGGAUAGCUUUCACCACAAGUUAAAACAGAGCAACAGUGUAACAGAGAGAGCACUGGAGACCAGAUGAGGAAAUGACACCUGCCUUCUAGAAGUUCAAUUUCUGCUAAUAACCAGUUUUCAGGGAACACGAAAAUGCCUUUCCACAUGGCAGUUGUAAAAUUCCUUCUGAGGCAGAAUGUUUUCAAUUAGAGAUGGCCUGCUGUUGAUAAUGUCAUUCCCUGACACCUGGAACAUUUUGAAAGACUCCUCAGCAAUGACCUUGGGGCCAGACCAAACUACAAGGGCCAGUGAAUCCCUUCUAUUUAUGGAGACCUGAAUAACUUGGAACCUCCUGCAGUGACCAACAGAUUAAAGGCUAACCGAGUGCUGGUGAGUUAGUCUCGCACACUCUGAAAGAGGACCACGUCAGUAACUGCUGGACUGUACAAGUCACUCACUGUCUUCAGGCACUCAUUUACCUGGGGCCCACUAUGGCAAGAUGGUUAAGAGCACAGGCUUUGGAGCAAAACUUCAGAGGGCGAAGAGGAAGUUCACCUGACCCCAACAGCAACCAGAACG